UACACGCUGUGACUAGCAUAUCAAUAAGCGGAGGAAAAGAAACUAACAAGGAUUCCCCUAGUAACGGCGAGUGAAGCGGGAAGAGCUCAAAUUUGAAACCUUAAAGGGUUUCCCUUUACGAAUUGUAGUUUAAAGAAGUGUUUUCUGUUGAGGUUUUGGUAAAAGUUCUUUGGAAUAGGACAUCAUAGAGGGUGAGAAUCCCGUAUUUGACCUUUACUUUCAACUCUGUGAUACACUUUCAAAGAGUCGGAUUGUUUGGGAAUGCAGUCCAAAAUGGGUGGUAAAUUUCAUCUAAAGCUAAAUAUUGGCGAGAGACCGAUAGCGAACAAGUACCGUGAGGGAAAGAUGAAAAGAACUUUGAAAAGAGAGUUAAACAGUACGUGAAAUUGUCAAAAGGGAAGCGUUUGACACCAGUGUUGUUUUUCUGAAAAUCAAUUAAAGAACUGUUUAUGCUAAGCUGUUUAGACUUUAUCAGCUAUCUGUUUAGUUUUGAGCUUUUCUUUAAUGCACUUUUCAGUUAACAAGUCAACAUCAAUUUCUUUUGCUGUAAAAAAGCUUGAGGAAGGUGGCUUGAGAUUCGUCUUAAGUGUUUAUAGCCUCUUGCCUAUGCAGUCGGAGAGAUUGAGGUCUGCAGCGUAGAUCCUUCGGGGCUAAAUGCAUUUGUGCUAAGUUAUAGCAUUUUAUAGACAACUUGUUGACUAUGAUUUGUCUUGUAGCUUACUCGCUUAUGUUAUUUUACCUACGCUUAGGAUGUUGAAGUCAUCGUAUCGCGC
rnacentral:rRNA from 1 species